rnacentral:lncRNA from 10 species
ACGGCGUUGUUGAACCACCACAACCCCAGGCGGCGCCUUCCUCUUGGCCCAGGGGCUCUCUUGGGGACAGUGUGCAGUACUCCCCAAGGGGGCUUUGCUGUGCAAAAGCAGCCCCUGCCGAUGCUGCGGCUCCCGUGGAUGGAGCACUGCCGUGGGAACAGAGUUGGAACUCAUCCAAAAGGAUAAAAGACAACUGUGUUGGAAGAUUGCCAAGGUUUGUAGCUGUGCCACCGCAGACUUCAGAGAUGAACACUGCCUUGGAGACGAGGAGGAUUCAAGUUGCAGAAGCAUUUAGGUUUUUGUGAGGAUCAAACGAAAUAGAACCUCAAACUUGAGACACGGUGGGAAAUCAGGAAGACAUGAGGCUUUGCUCAACACUGGAGAACACCAGUUCUUUUCAGUUUGUAUGCAUCUUUAUCAGGGAUGGAAAGUGUCUGGGCAUUUUGUCACUGGAACCCACCUUUAAAGCAGACUGGCACCAUUCAAGGCUUUCCAGAGGAGGCCACACCUGGACUGGGCUUUGAAGAGUGAGUAAGAGUUGGCUGGGCGAGGUGCUCAGAAGUUAGGAAGCUAUUACAAUAAUCCAGGCAAGUCGGAACAGAUGUUGUUUUUGGUGAUGUAAGUUACCAGGGUUGGGGGUCUGAUCUGGAGGAACUGGGAGGAUGAUCUUUGCUGGCCCUUUGAGGUUAGGAGGAUACCAGGCUCUGGGGAGUCUGCCCCAGCAGGUAGACACAAACAAAGAGGCAACAAAGAAAUUAGAAGGUUGUAUAAGAAGCUGCAUAGAAUCACAAUGACUGCGUUGUCCUGAAACCAACCCAGGGGGAGCAUGAACCAAUGAAGUACCACCGUACCUGACCAGGGAGACACAGAUGAGGAAUUGCAAAGGAAAGAUGUGGCUGCAUCAGAGAAGCCUGCUCAAUUUUUUGCAGAAGAUGAAUGAUUAAUUCAUCACCUGCAGUGACACUGGACUUAUUAUCAUUUUGCUUUCUAAGACUGUUUUACAAAUAACUGGUCAGUUAGU